rnacentral:rRNA from 1 species
ACAGAGGGUACUAGCGUUGUUCGGAAUUAUUGGGCGUAAAGGGUGCGUAGGCUGUCUUUUUAAGUCAAUUGUGAAAUUCUGGGGCUCAACUCCAGCGCUAUAAUUGAUACUAUAAGACUAGAAUAUGGAAGGGGUAGAUGGAAUUCCCAGUGUAGGAGUGAAAUCCGUAGAUAUUGGGAGGAACACCAGAGGCGAAGGCGAUCUACUGGGACAUUAUUGACGCUGAGGCACGAAGGCGUGGGGAGCAAACAGG